rnacentral:rRNA from 1 species
AUUUGUCUGGUUAAUUCCGAUAACGAACGAGACCUUAACCUGCUAACUAGUUCUCAAUACUCUGUAUUCUGCAACUUCUUAGAGGGACUAUGUAAAUCAAUUACAUGGAAGUUUGAGGCAAUAACAGGUCAGUGAUGCCCUUAUAUGUCCUGGGCUGCACGCGUGCUACACUGAUGCAUACAACAAGUGCCUAGCCAGACAUGGUAUGGCAAUCUCGAAUAUGCAUCGUGAUGGGGAUAGAUCUUUGCAAUUAUAGAUCUUGAACGAGGAAUUCCUAGUAAGUGCAAGUCAUCAUCUUGCAUUGAUUAUGUCCCUGCCCUUUGUACACACCGCCCGUCGCUCCUACCGAUACCGGGUGAUCCGGUGAACCUUUUGGACUCUUUACUGGGAAAGAUAAGUAAACCAUAUCACCUAGAGGAAGGAGAAGUCGUAACAAGGUUUCCGUAGGUGAACCUGCRGAAGGAUCA